rnacentral:lncRNA from 1 species
CUGAAUUUCAAUCAUUUUUUUGAGCGAAUGGCUGACCAGAAGCAUGUAAGACUCUGGAGAGAACACAGUGAAUGACUAUGGAGACAACACAUAUUAAAGAAAUUAUCAAAUGGCCUUGGAUAAUGCUUAUUAAUCAAGAUCCUGACUCACCUAAGAUCAGCCAGGAGAACAGUUCCAUCCCCAACCCAAGGAGAAGGCAACGGUCAUCCAAUGAGGUGUGACUCAAUGAUCCUGUUUGCUUGGAUUUUGUGGCACCUUGAUCUUAAGACGUGAUUUCAGGAUGACCAUGGCAGGUGAUGAGUGUACAGAAAAUUGAACAUUGUCUCUUAAGUACUUGCAACUGGAAGCAACACACAGUUCUAGCCUUCGGAUCAAGACUAGGCACAUGACUUCACCUAAUUGCCUGGGAUCAGGAAAAAGUGAUCGUCUCUACGUCUAGGAAGGAAAGACAACUGGAAAUAUUGGUGAGCAUUAUGAUGUCUACUUGAAUUACCAAAAAAGAGAUCUCAAAAUGUACUCCAAACACAGUAAUUAGAGAAAAACAUCAUUAUUAAAUAUGUGCAGGCAGUGUCGAUAAAUAAUGACUUAUGAGAGCACCCAUUAUAUAGGAUUCAUGUUUCAAACAGAAUUUGUUGUUUACAAAUAUAUGAAAUUGGAUGCCUCAUGAUGAAAACAACUACAUCAAAUUAACCUGGAUGUCAUGAUGGAGCUCCAGGUAACCCAGG